CGGUCGCAUGCUUUGAUGGGAAUACAGGAAUACAGUAUUUCAGACUGAACAGAGCAGAAUGUAAAAUACAGUAUUAAGAAAGAACUUCCUCAAGAGAUAGUGUCAGAAGAGCCUGUUGGAAGAUGGAUCAUGGAUACGUGCCUAAAAAUGAUCUACGGAUAAUCUUACUGGGUCAGGCUGGUCCAUGGAAAGGCUUCGUCAGCAAGGACAUCGUGGGCCUGUGGGCCGAUGGGUCAAUGUGCUUGCAGAGAGAAGAAUCUGGCCGGACAGUCACCAUGGUGAUGACCCAAGGCUGGGACAGUGAAUCAGAACACACUGGUGCUGCAGUAGAACAGGAGGUCAUGAGAAGCGUGACCCUUUGCCCUCCAGGGCCGCACGCUCUCCUGCUGGCGCUGCCCAUCGGGCCCGACAUGGGCAUCACGAGGCGUGACGUGGAGAGGGCUCAACAGCACAUGAGCUUCCUGUCUGAGAGAGCCUGGAGACACACCAUGCUUGUGUUCAUCUGCACCUACAAAAUAAUGUCUAACACGAUCUUGCUGGACAAACACAUUCUAGGGCAGCUUGUAGAUAAAUGUGGAGGAGGACAUUCUAUUAUUUUCUUGGACAAGCCCGGUUCUGAGCUCUUACAGAAGGUAGAUCAAAUGGCGGCUAGAAACAGACAAAGUUUCCUUCAACAUCAUGAGGUUAAAAGGCCGAGACCAACUAUGGAGGCAGAAGAGCUUGCAGCCCUCAUUCAAAAUCUGAGGAACAGGAGGGGCAGUGGGUCACCAGGACCACAACCAGCAAGGACACGUCAUAGAGAGGUGCCACGGAAUGACCGAUACAUUGGAUUUUGUUAUGGGUUGUUUCUGUGGUGUGUUAUUAUCUUUGUUGGCGUUUUUGCAGGGUUUAUCGUCUAUCUAUUAAUCAUAGCAGGCACGUCUGUCUGUGUGUUUGUGUUUGUGUGUGUUUGUCUGUUUUUCUGUUUUGCUUGAAAAGUGGUGGGUUCAAUUUCCACCUUCCACUCAUUACUCUGGGGACAUUCAUUGCUCCACCUUCCACUCAUUGUUCUGGCCCUUGUAAUGUAAUUGAUAUACAUAUCACAAAAAAAUGUAUAUAAGUCGCUUUGGAGAAAAGCAUCUGCUAAUUUAAUAAAAGAAAAUGCCAAACAUGCCAGGUGCCUUGCUAUGGGCACGCUUGACAUUAUUUGGCUAAAAUGCCAAAUAUAUUGUUGAAUAUUGUUCAAAGAAGCACACAUUUGCCUCUACCUGCUGUAGCCAGCCCCCUAGAAACUCAAGCAACUCAGUGUGUGUAUAGAUAUGUUUGGGGCAUGAGGAUAGGACAGAGCUGAGGCUUGCCACUGAGAGGUCAGUGAGUCUCCAGGGGGAGAAAAAAGUACAAAUGAAACAAUGACUAAAUCAGUUGCAAUGGGCCAAACACUAUUCCACUGGGGAUCAGCAGUGCUAGACAAAUGGCCUCCUACCAGAGCUAAACAAAAAGGAGAAGAGAUCGAGAGAAAUUCAUAAACAGAGUUUGGUGUCUGCCAGACUAAUAAGCUAAAUCUGGCCUCAUCAGACAGACAGGCCUUCUUCCAUUUGGAGUAUCCCACAUGCCUUUAGGCAAACUUUAGUCGAGAUUUAAUAAGAGCUUUGCCACUACAUAGAGCUUUGACUAGUGAAGAGCUCAGGCAAAAGUUGCUGUAUGCUUAGUUUCUCCCAUCUCAGCUGCUGAAGCUUUCAACUUCUUCAGAGUUGUAAUGAGACCUGUUGAGGGGUGGUGGAGUUGAGGCCUGGUUGACAUGCUAGACAUGGUGCUGGAGUGAUGUCCAUCUCCUUGUGCCCCCUCUCCACCCAAACCUGCCCCUCUCAUUUAGUCCAUGUGAUCCAAGUUCCCCAGUCUCAGCUCUUUUUCAUGAGAUGGUCAAUACUAGCCUUGCUGCCUGGGUACUCGUUAUGUAGAGCCACUGCUAGUCAGGCCAAGACAGGACUCAGACAAGCACUGGUGUGUGUCGCCAUGUCUAGAGCUCACCACAUGUACUUUACAGUGUGCCUUUAGCAACCUAUAGGACCUCACAGAUACAGAAUAAGUCUGUUAUAAAGAAGACAGUUUAAACACCUGUUUUCAAGACUACAUGGGAAUGGAAUUUGAUAGGUAGCCUUCGAAUGGGGAUGUCCAGUAUUUAGUAUAGUAAAAAGUAAAAAGAAAUCAACUAUGAAUGAGUUUGUUAUUGUUAUAUUUUAUUGUUGAAAUCAAUUACAAAUAUAUAUAGAAAGUAUAGCUAGAUUAGACAUUCAAAUGUGCUUUCCAAUAUAGACGAUGCCUUCAAAAGGUGUGUUUAACAUUGACAAGUGAAUAGACAUUUCGGCCUUAAUGUAAAUGUAAAAUAAAAGUGC